rnacentral:rRNA from 1 species
UUAAAUGGCUGCAGUAUUUUGACUGUACUAAGGUAGCAUAAUCAUUAGUUUUUUAAUUGAAAGCUAGAAUGAAGGGUUGGAUGAGAAAAAAAAUGUCUCUAUAAAAUUAGAUUAUAAUUUUAUUUUUAAGUUAAAAAGCUUAAAUAAUUUUAAAAGACGAGAAGACCCUAUAGAGUUUUAUAAUUUUUAUUUAUUAUAUUUUUAGUAUUAAAAAUUAUAAUAAUUAAGAAUUAUUUAAUUGGGGUGAUUGAAAAAUUUAUUUAACUUUUUUUUUAUUAUUAUAUAAAUUAAUAAAUUAUUGAUCCAAUUAUUUUGAUUAUAAGAUUAAAUUACCUUAGGGAUAACAGCGUAAUUUUAUUAGAAAGUU